CAGCCACAGAUACACAGACACACAGAAAAGGACCGGCCAGGGAAGGCUUUCAGGAGGGCAGUGAUUAACACCAGGCAGAGGGGCCUGCUUGGAACACUUUCUUUCAGACAUGAAAAAGACGUUGGAUUUUUUUUUUAAAGGGUAGUGAGUGCUACGGAAAAUAUGACACCAUCCUUACAGAGACGCAUGGUCUCUCCCAGCCAAAGUGCCUGUCCCAGUUCCAUCACUUCAUCUGCACAGUAGUCGGACGGAUUCCCUGCGCAGAGCAUGGCGGCCCACGGGCUGCGAGGACUGGGCAGCCUGAAGAGAGAAGACAGAGUGAAAGCCGGCAAGAAACAACAAAAAAAAUCCACCCAACACCCUGAGACUCCUGGGAGGCAGCGCCAGGCCCAGCCUUGUCAGUCUCUGGCCCCCGGGCCGGGGACGCUGCGGCCAGCUCAGGGAGGGCAGCUUCCCACUGCCCUCUGGCAGCGACGCGGACCAUCUGUUCCCGGGCGACAAGGUCCAAGUUCUGAGCCGCGGCCGCCGUCCCCUCGGAAAAGGCCCCCGGACCAGAGCGGCCUCCUUCCCGUUCCCUCCAAACCCGACGCUCCGCACCGGGACGCCAGGCAGCGCCCUGGGCGCGCG
rnacentral:lncRNA from 1 species